rnacentral:rRNA from 1 species
UACGUAGGGUGCGAGCGUUAAUCGGAAUUACUGGGCGUAAAGCGUGCGCAGGCGGUUAUUUAAGUCAGGUGUGAAAGCCCUGGGCUUAACCUAGGAAUUGCGCUUGAGACUGGAUAGCUUGGAGUGCGGCAGAGGGAGGUGGAAUUCCACGUGUAGCAGUGAAAUGCGUAGAGAUGUGGAGGAACACCGAUGGCGAAGGCAGCCCCCCUGGGCUAGCACUGACGCUCAGGCACGAAAGCGUGGGGAGCAAACAGG